rnacentral:rRNA from 1 species
ACGGAGGGUGCAAGCGUUAUCCGGAUUCACUGGGUUUAAAGGGUGCGUAGGCGGGUAGGUAAGUCAGUGGUGAAAUCCUGGAGCUCAACUCCAGAACUGCCAUUGAUACUAUCUAUCUUGAAUAUUGUGGAGGUAAGCGGAAUAUGUCAUGUAGCGGUGAAAUGCUUAGAUAUGACAUAGAACACCCAUUGCGAAGGCAGCUUACUACGCAUAUAUUGACGCUGAGGCACGAAAGCGUGGGGAUCAAACAGGAUUAGAUACCCUGGUAGUCCACGCCCUAAACUAUGGAUACUCGACAUAUGCGAUACACUGUAUGUGUCUGAGCGAAAGCAUUAAGUAUCCCACCUGGGAAGUACGUUCGCAAGAAUG